UCCAAAAUUUAAUAUUUUUUCCUACUCGUAAUAUUUCUUCUAUGCAUAGGGCCUUUGCAUGGCAAUCAUGAUAUUACUCAUGCAAGGAAUGCAAGACGUUGCAGAAUUUGACCCAAUUAAGACCAUACAUGGUCGACUGUUAGGACAGAAGUUAGAAUAUUAUAUUAAGACACCGACUCGUGCCAGGCAGAGUUAGUCGAUCAGAGUCAAUCGAAAUAAGUAGAAGUCGGUCAAAACAGGUUGAUUAUAAUUUAACGGAGUUCUAUCAAGAAGUUCAACAAUACUAUCAGUUCGAGUGAACAAUAAAUUGAACUUAGUAUUCGAUUACUACGAUUGCAUCCAGAUUGCCAAGUGUCUAAAGCCAUGUGUCCACGAUGCUAGAAAUCGGUUCGAAAUCGAACCUCAAAAAGAGAAUUGAUCAUUGAUCAAGUAGCCGAAUUAAUCAAAUGUAGAUCAGUUCUCUCUUUGUCCAAGAUCUCAGACUGAUUUCUAGCAUUAUGGACACGAGACUUGUGGCAGACGUCGAGUACUGAGCAUCUUUCCUGGCCUUUCUUUGAGUCUCAACUUUCAAGACGUAAUAAAUCUGACUAUUCUUGUAUCACGAGGUACAACAGCGCAUUCUUGCUUUUGAUAUCAUCAGUUCAGAUGGGCAACAUGGUAGAAUCAAUUUCUACAGGCUGACUCAAUGACUGAUGUUCCUUUCUAUCAUCACUGUCAGAAGAAGGAACAGGAUUGUUGGCUGCUUGAUGAAGUGGUGGUAUUGCUGCAAUUAUGGAACGAUGAUUGAAUUUGUACAUUGUUG